CGCGUUUCUCCCUCUCGUUCGCACACCCUAGACGGAACAAAGGCCUCUGCCUCCCCCUUUCUUGCGCAACCCGAAGCCCAUCGCCGCUCGUCUUUGACCUACUGCCCUAGGCGCACGAUCACUGUCGCCGGCCCUCUCUCACGCACAGGUUUUUAGAGAAGUCAUAAAGUAAUUGCUACAGUGGGAGGAAAUGCUAAAUCGCUCACAAUGAUGGGAGGCUUUCUCACCAGAGUUUCUGUGGUUUUAUUUGUUGUACUGACAGUUUAUAAGAGAGUUGGAGAUGCCCUCAUUUCACUGUAAUAAGCAU